rnacentral:rRNA from 1 species
UACAGAGGUGGCAAGCGUUGUUCGGAAUUACUGGGCGUAAAGCGUGCGCAGGCGGUCUGUUAAGACCGAUGUGAAAUCCCCGGGCUUAACCUGGGAACUGCAUUGGUGACUGGCAGGCUAGAGUGUGGCAGAGGGGGGUGGAAUUCCACGUGUAGCAGUGAAAUGCGUAGAGAUGUGGAGGAACACCGAUGGCGAAGGCAGCCCCCUGGGCUAACACUGACGCUCAUGCACGAAAGCGUGGGGAGCAAACAGG